rnacentral:tRNA from 1 species
GGUUGUGGCUCAGUGGUAGAGGGCUUGCCUAGCAUGUGUGAGGCACUGGGUUCAACCUUCAGCACCA